rnacentral:rRNA from 1 species
CGCGGCCUAUCAGCUUGUUGGAGAGGUAACGGCUCACCAAGGCAUCGACGGGUAGCUGGUCUGAGAGGAUGAUCAGCCACACUGGAACUGAGACACGGUCCAGACUCCUACGGGAGGCAGCAGUGGGGAAUCUUGCACAAUGGGCGCAAGCCUGAUGCAGCAACGCCGCGUGCGGGAAGACGGCCCUAGGGUUGUAAACCGCUUUCAGGAGGGAAGAAAAUGACGGUACCUCCAGAAGAAGGUGCGGCCAACUACGUGCCAGCAGCCGCGGUGACACGUAGGCACCAAGCGUUAUCCGGAUUUAUUGGGCGUAAAGAGCUCGUAGGCGGUUUGGUAAGUCGGGUGUGAAAACUUGAGGCUUAACCUCAAGAGGCCACCCGAUAUUGCUAUGACUUGAGUACGGUAGGGGAGCGGGGAAUUCCUGGUGUAGCGGUGAAAUGCGCAGAUAUCAGGAGGAACACCAGUGGCGAAGGCGCCGCUCUGGGCCGUAACUGACGCUGAGGAGCGAAAGCGUGGGUAGCAAACAGGAUUAGAUACCCUGGUAGUCCACGCCGUAAACGAUGGGUGCUAGCUGUCGGCAGGCAUGCUUGUCGGUGGCGCAGCUAACGCAUUAAGCACCCCGCCUGGGGAGUACGG